rnacentral:misc_RNA from 1 species
GAGAUACUGUGAGCUUGAGCAAUGGGUUCAGUCUCAUGGAUUCAGACCUGGUCAGGCCAUGAUGCUGUGGAAGCGGCUUUAUGCGCAAAAUAUUUGGGCGCAUUAUGUUGAUGAAUUGGAAGGUUUGAAUAAGGAUUUAAAAAAAAUGUUGAGUGAACAUGCUGAAUUGAAGGCAAUAUCUUUGGAAGAUGUUCUUACAGCAUCUGAUGGAACUAGAAAGAUUUUAUUUAGGUUGGAUGAUCAACUGGUAAUAGAGACGGUUAUCAUACCUUGUGAUAGAGGUAGAACAACAGUUUGUGUUUCAAGUCAAGUGGGG